GGGUGACUAGUCUAGUGGUCAGGACGCUUCGUUGUGGUUUUCAAAAUUAUCGACAGGAUAAUUUGAUACAUGACGGCCCGAAGAAACCCCGGUUCGAUUCCGGGGUCGCCCA